GUGACUGACCCGGAACGUGGUGGGGACUGCCUGCUCAAGAAUUCUGUUUCAUUUUUCUUUACUCUGCUGAAGAAAGAUGAAAGCUGUGCUCAAGGAGCAGGAGUAAUAGCCCACAUGGACUGCUUUGCACAGUGCUCUGAGAGGCCAGAAAAGGAACGUAUUUCUCUGGUAAGAUACUCAAGCUGCAAGAUCGGGGCUCUCCCACCAGCUCAGCAUGAGAUUUUCUGUUCAGCUUUCAGCAAACUAUUACACUCAUCAGCAUCUGUUAAUGUAUCAGGCAAAAUACCGUCACUGCCAGGGGAUGUGAGAUGCAAAACAAAGAAAUCUGUAAAGCUGUUGAGAUAAUGGAAUGGAGAGACUUGAGGCGCUCCAAAGAUUUCUAUUAUUUAAUGUUCCUCUCUGGAGAAAACGUUGCCCAGUAUCAUCUGGUGACUGAUUUUGAAAUUAAUUAUGCUGAUCCACUCGUAACACCAGCUGGCAAGGAGGCUGGCUGCAGGGUGACCGCAGUAUCCCCUGACUACCUACCAAAUAGAAAAAUCAACAAAAUGUUUUCUACUGAGUCACUGAUUUAUCCAGGACAGUCAUCAAUAUUUUCCAUUGUUAUCUCUGAUGUCUAAAGUGACUCCUCCAGGUUACAUUAAGGGCACAACAACUAUUAAUUAGAACUUUAUGACAGAUUAUUGGUAAUGAACAGACACAGUAAAACCUUGUAGCUCAGAAGCAGACACUACCCCACCCACAGUUCUCCUCCUCAAUCAGUAACUUGGUGCUACCCUACCUAGUUGUGUCUCAUGGGAGGACAAUACUUCUGUCUGCUGCAGCACACUGAAAAGGACAGCAGAUAAUCUUUCAAAAGUAGUGUUCAACUUAUUUGAAAGGAAAAAGAUUGUUAAGUUUUCACGGGUCCUGGACA